rnacentral:rRNA from 1 species
CCUACGGGAGGCAGCAGUAGGGAAUCUUUCACAAUGGGCGAAAGCCUGAUGGAGCAACGCCGCGUGCAGGAUGAAGGCCUUCGGGUUGUAAACUGCUUUUAUAAGCGAGAAAUAUGAUGGUAACUUAUGAAUAAGUAUCGGCUAACUACGUGCCAGCAGCCGCGGUCAUACGUAGGAUCCGAGCAUUAUCCGGAGUGACUGGGUGUAAAGAGUUGCGUAGGUGGCAUAAUAAGUAGCUAGUGAAAUCUGGUGGCUCAACCAUUCAGACUAUUAGCUAAACUGUUCAGCUCGAGAGCGUUAGGGGUAACUGGAAUUUCUAGUGUAGGAGUGAAAUCCGUAGAUAUUAGAAGGAACACCAAUAGCGUAGGCAGGUUACUGGGACGGUUCUGACACUGAGGCACGAAAGCGUAGGGAGCAAACGGGAUUAGAUACCCCAGUAGUC